AUGAAGCCCUUCGGGGUGGAUUAGUGGCGAACGGGUGAGUAACACGUGGGCAAUCUGCCCUGCACUCUGGGACAAGCCCUGGAAACGGGGUCUAAUACCGGAUACGAGCCUCCCGGGCAUCUGGGAGGUUGGAAAGCUCCGGCGGUGCAGGAUGAGCCCGCGGCCUAUCAGCUUGUUGGUGAGGUAACGGCUCACCAAGGCGACGACGGGUAGCCGGCCUGAGAGGGCGACCGGCCACACUGGGACUGAGACACGGCCCAGACUCCUACGGGAGGCAGCAGUGGGGAAUAUUGCACAAUGGGCGAAAGCCUGAUGCAGCGACGCCGCGUGAGGGAUGACGGCCUUCGGGUUGUAAACCUCUUUCAGCAGGGAAGAAGCGAAAGUGACGGUACCUGCAGAAGAAGCGCCGGCUAACUACGUGCCAGCAGCCGCGGUAAUACGUAGGGCGCAAGCGUUGUCCGGAAUUAUUGGGCGUAAAGAGCUCGUAGGCGGCUUGUCGCGUCGAUUGUGAAAGCCCGGGGCUUAACUCCGGGUCUGCAGUCGAUACGGGCAGGCUAGAGUGUGGUAGGGGAGAUCGGAAUUCCUGGUGUAGCGGUGAAAUGCGCAGAUAUCAGGAGGAACACCGGUGGCGAAGGCGGAUCUCUGGGCCAUUACUGACGCUGAGGAGCGAAAGCGUGGGGAGCGAACAGGAUUAGAUACCCUGGUAGUCCACGCCGUAAACGGUGGGCACUAGGUGUUGGCGACAUUCCACGUCGUCGGUGCCGCAGCUAACGCAUUAAGUGCCCCGCCUGGGGAGUACGGCCGCAAGGCUAAAACUCAAAGGAAUUGACGGGGGCCCGCACAAGCGGCGGAGCAUGUGGCUUAAUUCGACGCAACGCGAAGAACCUUACCAAGGCUUGACAUACACCGGAAACAUCCAGAGAUGGGUGCCCCCUUGUGGUCGGUGUACAGGUGGUGCAUGGCUGUCGUCAGCUCGUGU
rnacentral:rRNA from 1 species